GAGCUUCCUAGGGUUAGAGGCAGAUGCUUGGAGGGCAGAGUGAGAAGUGUUGGAUGAGAGCAAGAGGGAAAAGGAUACAAGGUAGUGGUCGGAGAUUUGGAGGGGAGUUGCAAUGAGAUUAGUGGAAGAACAGCAUCUAGUAAAGAUGAGGUCAAGCGUAUUGCCUGCCUUGUGAGUAGGGGGGGAAGGUGAGAGGGUGAGGUCAAAAGAGGAGAGGAGUGGAAAGAAGGAGGCAGAGAGGAAUGAGUCAAAGGUAGACGUGGGGAGGUUAAAGUCACCCAGAACUGUGAGAGGUGAGCCGUCCUCAGGAAAGGAACUUAUCAAGGCGUCAAGCUCAUUGAUGAACUCUCCAAGGGAACCCGGAGGGCGAUAAAUGAUAAGGAUGUUAAGCUUGAAAGGGCUGGUAACUGUGACAGCAUGGAAUUCAAAUGAGGAGAUAGACAGAUGGGUCAGGGGAGAAAGAGAGAAUGUCCACUUGGGAGAGAUGAGGAUUCAAGUGCC
rnacentral:lncRNA from 1 species